UUAUUUACUGAUAGCUGAUUGGUUGGAAGGAGAGGUGUCUUAUUUCAAGAAUGAUGUCAUUGGCUUCAGCUAAUUGGUCAAGUAGAGCUUCACUUCAAACCAUUUGAUCAAAUUAAACUGUGAUUUUUUCUUCGAUUUUUCAAUUGGCGUUAAGAGACAUUGAGGACAUUAACAUUGAGAAGGUUGUUCCAAUUUCCAUCUAUGCUACGUUUUUAGGAUUAGUUAGACAAACUAUAGACAUCUAAUAUCAUAUAUUUUCUUUGCGGUUCGACAGAGUCACGUAACUGACCAGUGUGAGGCAGGAUUAGCCUCGUUUUUUCUUCGAUUCAAUUUAGGUGCGUAAACGUUUUUUCUCUCGAAGUUAUACAUUUUUUACUCGCUGUUGGUAUAUGAGAUUAUUGUGACACUCAAACGAGGCUGACCCUGCCUGUGUGCGCCCGCAGUCAGUGAACCCAGCGUCUUAGUACGAAUUCGAAAAGCCUUAUUUGAGGGACCUGGAAUCAAUAGAGAAGUACUUCACGUUGAACUGAACGCCUAAGGUAAACACUUUGGCCACCUUAGGUAAGCAGGAUUUCGUGGUGGUUUACUUUAUGAGGAAUUCAUCCUAUUUUAUUAAAAACCGUAUAGAAUUCAAAAUAAAAAGAAAUAAUACUCAAGGAAUUGUAAAGGACUGAAAGUAAAUAAGACAACGUUCAACAAGGCAAGCUAAAUAAUUUAAGUUAAUAUUAAAACAUAUAAAAUAUAUAUAAACAAGUAUGAUACAAAAAAUUCAAGACUUUUUUCAGCUUUUCUUACUUUCGUUUCCAAUAUGGCAUAUGUUACGAAAUCAUCUUUAAUUUCCCGAGAGAAUUUUCUGCCUUCUAACUAAGCAUUCUGGUAAUGAUAUGUAGUACGUGACGUCAUCAUACAAACGAUCCAUGUCAGGGGCGGAUCCAGGAAUUUGUUCAGGGAGGGGUGCAGCGCACAUAGUUAACUCAGGGAGGGGUGAACCCCUUAUAAUCAAAGGGAAAGAAACAUGAUUUUGUAUUGGUUAAAUCUUUGAAGUAGGGGCACAAAGUCGAACCAGGUAUUGGUGCGCGCCCCCUGCACCCCUCCCCUGGAUCCGCCACUGCAUGUGAGAUGACGUAAAUCAUUUCCUAUGCAAAUUGCCAAUUCGAAAUUGAUUGGCUCGAUAAACAAAGGUAGUCCAGUAGAGAUUUCUUGUGUCACAGGUAGUCUAGAAAUGAUUCCUUGUGUCAGCCACAGGUAGUCCAGUAAUGAUUCCUUGUGCCAGCCACAGGUAGUCCAGUAAUGAUUCCUUGUGACCAAUUAACACAGAUAGUCCAGUAAUGAUUCCUUGUGAACAAUUAACACAGGUAGUCCAGUAAUGAUUCCUUAUGAUGAUCACGUGACCUCAAUUUUUAAGUGGUCUCUGAUUUAUGUUUUUAUUCUGAGGCAGGACCUUAAAUAUUGUUAUCUAGUAAAAGAAAAACGUUUUUUGUGUGAUUGAAAUGCAUAUGAAAAUUAAUCUCUUGUUUCAUUAAAGAAAUCGCUGAGGACCA